rnacentral:rRNA from 2 species
GUUAUAUGGUCAAGUGAAGAAGCGCAUACGGUGGAUGCCUUGGCAGUCAGAGGCGAUGAAAGACGUGGUAGCCUGCGAAAAGCUUCGGGGAGUCGGCAAACAGACUGUGAUCCGGAGAUGUCUGAAUGGGGGAACCCAGCCAUCAUAAGAUGGUUAUCUUACACUGAAUACAUAGGUGUAAGAGGCGAACCAGGGGAACUGAAACAUCUAAGUACCCUGAGGAAAAGAAAUCAACCGAGAUUCCCUUAGUAGUGGCGAGCGAACGGGGACCAGCCCUUAAGUUGUAUUGAGAUUAGCGGAACGCUCUGGAAAGUGCGGCCAUAGUGGGUGAUAGCCCUGUACGCGAAAAUCCCUUUGCAAUGAAAUCGAGUAGGACGGGGCACGAGAAACCUUGUCUGAAUAUGGGGGGACCAUCCUCCAAGGCUAAAUACUACUGACUGACCGAUAGUGAACCAGUACCGUGAGGGAAAGGCGAAAAGAACCGCGGAGAGCGGAGUGAAAUAGAUGCUGAAACCGUAUGCGUACAAGCAGUGGGAGCCCACUUUGUUGGGUGACUGCGUACCUUUUGUAUAAUGGGUCAGCGACUUAUUUUCAGUGGCGAGCUUAACCGAAUAGGGGAGGCGUAGCGAAAGCGAGUCUUAAUAGGGCGUCUAGUCGCUGGGAAUAGACCCGAAACCGGGCGAUCUAUCCAUGGGCAGGUUGAAGGUUGGGUAACACUAACUGGAGGACCGAACCGACUACCGUUGAAAAGUUAGCGGAUGACCUGUGGAUCGGAGUGAAAGGCUAAUCAAGCUCGGAGAUAGCUGGUUCUCCUCGAAAGCUAUUUAGGUAGCGCCUCAUGUAUCACUGUAGGGGGUAGAGCACUGUUUCGGCUAGGGGGUCAUCCCGACUUACCAAACCGAUGCAAACUCCGAAUACCUACAAGUGCCGAGCAUGGGAGACACACGGCGGGUGCUAACGUCCGUCGUGAAAAGGGAAACAACCCAGACCGUCAGCUAAGGUCCCAAAGUCAUGGUUAAGUGGGAAACGAUGUGGGAAGGCUUAGACAGCUAGGAGGUUGGCUUAGAAGCAGCCACCCUUUAAAGAAAGCGUAAUAGCUCACUAGUCGAGUCGGCCUGCGCGGAAGAUGUAACGGGGCUCAAACCAUGCACCGAAGCUACGGGUAUCACCUUUGGUGAUGCGGUAGAGGAGCGUUCUGUAAGCCUGUGAAGGUGAGUUGAGAAGCUUGCUGGAGGUAUCAGAAGUGCGAAUGCUGACAUGAGUAACGACAAUGGGUGUGAAAAACACCCACGCCGAAAGACCAAGGUUUCCUGCGCAACGUUAAUCGACGCAGGGUUAGUCGGUCCCUAAGGCGAGGCUGAAAAGCGUAGUCGAUGGAAAACAGGUUAAUAUUCCUGUACUUCUGGUUAUUGCGAUGGAGGGACGGAGAAGGCUAGGCCAGCCUGGCGUUGGUAGUCCAGGUUUAAGGUGGUAGGCUGAGAUCUUAGGUAAAUCCGGGAUCUUAAGGCCGAGAGCUGAUGACGAGUGUUCUUUUAGAACAUGAAGUGGUUGAUGCCAUGCUUCCAAGAAAAGCUUCUAAGCUUCAGGUAACCAGGAACCGUACCCCAAACCGACACAGGUGGUUGGGUAGAGAAUACCAAGGCGCUUGAGAGAACUCGGGUGAAGGAACUAGGCAAAAUGGCACCGUAACUUCGGGAGAAGGUGCGCCGGUGAGGGUGAAGCAUUUACUGCGUAAGCCCACGCCGGUCGAAGAUACCAGGCCGCUGCGACUGUUUAUUAAAAACACAGCACUCUGCAAACACGAAAGUGGACGUAUAGGGUGUGACGCCUGCCCGGUGCCGGAAGGUUAAUUGAUGGGGUUAGCGCAAGCGAAGCUCUUGAUCGAAGCCCCGGUAAACGGCGGCCGUAACUAUAACGGUCCUAAGGUAGCGAAAUUCCUUGUCGGGUAAGUUCCGACCUGCACGAAUGGCGUAACGAUGGCGGCGCUGUCUCCACCCGAGACUCAGUGAAAUUGAAAUCGCUGUGAAGAUGCAGUGUAUCCGCGGCUAGACGGAAAGACCCCGUGAACCUUUACUAUAGCUUUGCACUGGACUUUGAAUUUGCUUGUGUAGGAUAGGUGGGAGGCUUUGAAGCGUGGACGCCAGUCUGCGUGGAGCCAACCUUGAAAUACCACCCUGGCAACUUUGAGGUUCUAACUCAGGUCCGUUAUCCGGAUCGAGGACAGUGUAUGGUGGGUAGUUUGACUGGGGCGGUCUCCUCCUAAAGAGUAACGGAGGAGUACGAAGGUGCGCUCAGACCGGUCGGAAAUCGGUCGUAGAGUAUAAAGGCAAAAGCGCGCUUGACUGCGAGACAGACACGUCGAGCAGGUACGAAAGUAGGUCUUAGUGAUCCGGUGGUUCUGUAUGGAAGGGCCAUCGCUCAACGGAUAAAAGGUACUCCGGGGAUAACAGGCUGAUACCGCCCAAGAGUUCAUAUCGACGGCGGUGUUUGGCACCUCGAUGUCGGCUCAUCACAUCCUGGGGCUGAAGCCGGUCCCAAGGGUAUGGCUGUUCGCCAUUUAAAGUGGUACGCGAGCUGGGUUUAGAACGUCGUGAGACAGUUCGGUCCCUAUCUGCCGUGGACGUUUGAGAUUUGAGAGGGGCUGCUCCUAGUACGAGAGGACCGGAGUGGACGAACCUCUGGUGUUCCGGUUGUCACGCCAGUGGCAUUGCCGGGUAGCUAUGUUCGGAAAAGAUAACCGCUGAAAGCAUCUAAGCGGGAAACUUGCCUCAAGAUGAGAUCUCACUGGAACCUUGAGUUCCCUGAAGGGCCGUCGAAGACUACGACGUUGAUAGGUUGGGUGUGUAAGCGCUGUGAGGCGUUGAGCUAACCAAUACUAAUUGCCCGUGAGGCUUGACCAUAUAACACCCAAGCAAUU